AGGGCACCACCAGGAGUGGAGCCUGCGGCUUAAUUUGACUCAACACGGGAAAACUCACCCGGCCCGGACACUGGAAGGAUUGACAGAUUGAGAGCUCUUUCUUGAUUCAGUGGGUGGUGGUGCAUGGCCGUUCUUAGUUGGUGGAGUGAUUUGUCUGGUUAAUUCCGAUAACGAACGAGACUCUAGCCUACUAAAUAGAUAGUCGGCUUACAAACGUCGACUAGACUUCUUAGAGGGACAGGCGGUGAUUCAACCGCACGAAACAGAGCAAUAACAGGUCUGUGAUGCCCUUAGAUGUCCGGGGCCGCACGCGCGCUACACUGAAGUGAUCAGCGUGCUUUUUCAGCCUACUCUGUCAAGAGUGGGAAACCCAAUGAACCUUCUUCGUGAUUGGGAUAGGGGAUUGUAAUUAUUCCCCUUGAACGAGGAAUUCCCAGUAAGCGCGAGUCAUAAUCUCGCGUUGAUUACGUCCCUGCCCUUUGUACACACCGCCCGUCGCUACUACCGAUUGAAUGUUUU
rnacentral:rRNA from 1 species